rnacentral:pre_miRNA from 1 species
UGUGUACUCCCUCCAUUCCAAAAUACUUGACUUCCAUUUUUCCAAAAAUGGAUGUACCUAUAUACUAAAACAUGUCUAGAUACAUCUAUAUUUUGACAAAUAGAAGGCAUGUAUUGUGGAAUGGAGGGAGUAGAAU